GGAUGAAAACUGAUUUGUUGCUUUGUUGAAGAUUACACAGAACAAGCAGUAAAUCCUAAAGGGAUGCUUCCCAUUUGAAUGACUGUUAGAUAAAGCUUUCAGUCUUCAUUAAAAAAAACCCCAAAAAAAUAAAAAAAAGCCACAAUGUAAAAAGCACCAGACAGUUUCAACUGAGAGGGCGAGUAUAGCUUGGUGUCAGAUGUAAGCUGAUACUGGAAAUGUGUUUGGAAGGACAAACAGAAGGGCACAUCUCUCCAAAUAGGAAAAGGAGCUGAAGUUGGGUUUUUCUUCAAAAGAAGAAAGUGCCUAUAAGGCCUACACAGGUUCUUCAGUCUGCAAACCUCCCUUUGAGAACAUUUCUUUCAACUCACAUUGCUGGAGCUCCUAAAUAUCUUUCAAGGCUCCUGAAAUAUGUGUAACGUAUAACCAUUUAGAAAAUGACAUAGCACCAAAUAAUGGGACCAUUCCUGUGGGAUGACAUGCUCGUGUUUUGAAGCAAAAGCCACACACAAGGAAGGCGUUCACCAAUUGGCUCACCAUAGCCCCCAAGGACUUGACCCAGAUCUGCUGGAUGGAUACAGGCAAAGUACCCACAAAUUAAAAUGAGUUUUAUGUCCUCUUAUGGUCCCUGUCAUCAUUUCAAUGUCUGUAUUACCAGAAAUUAUACUCAACUACUCUCAGACUAUAU